GAAAUGCGAUAAGUAGUGUGAAUUGCAGAAUUCAGUGAAUCAUCGAAUCUUUGAACGCACAUUGCGCCCCUUGGUAUUCCAUGGGGCAUGCCUGUUCGAGCGUCAUUUGUACCCUCAAGCUCUGCUUGGUGUUGGGUGUUUGUCCCGUCUCCGCGCGUGGACUCGCCCCAAAGUGAUUGGCAGCCGGCGUACUGGUCCCGGAGCGCAGCACAUGUCGCGCAAACGAGUGCCAUGGUACGGCGGCGUCCAUAAGCCCCUCUCUCACGCUCUUGACCUCGGAUCAGGUAGGGAUACCCGCUGAACUUAAGC
rnacentral:misc_RNA from 1 species